CGAAUGCUGACAUAAGUAACGAUAAAGCGGGUGAAAAGCCCGCUCGCCGGAAGACCAAGGGUUCCUGUCCAACGUUAAUCGGGGCAGGGUGAGUCGACCCCUAAGGCGAGGCCGAAAGGCGUAGUCGAUGGGAAACAGGUUAAUAUUCCUGUACUUGGUGUUACUGCGAAGGGGGGACGGAGAAGGCUAUGUUGGCCGGGCGACGGUUGUCCCGGUUUAAGCGUGUAGGCUGGUUUUCCAGGCAAAUCCGGAAAAUCAAGGCUGAGGCGUGAUGACGAGGCACUACGGUGCUGAAGCAACAAAUGCCCUGCUUCCAGGAAAAGCCUCUAAGCAUCAGGUAACAUCAAAUCGUACCCCAAACCGACACAGGUGGUCAGGUAGAGAAUACCAAGGCGCUUGAGAGAACUCGGGUGAAGGAACUAGGCAAAAUGGUGCCGUAACUUCGGGAGAAGGCACGCUGAUAUGUAGGUGAAGUCCCUCGCGGAUGGAGCUGAAA
rnacentral:rRNA from 1 species